GCCAGCGGUGAUUUUCAGAAGGACUUGCCGAGAUCAAGCUGCGUUGGGCGGGGUACAUGAGCGCUAAGUACCCGUUGGUUGUCUGGAUCAGAAAUCCGAAAAAGUCGGGGCAGAUUUUUUAAUAAACGCUCUCUUUAUAAACCGACCGCAAAUUUGAACUUUUUAUACAUACAUUCUCGCCUAAAAAGCUUUUGAACAUACACUUUGUGACACAAUAAGAGUAAUAUUUCAAACAUUAUGCAGGCGUUCUCUUCCAUUGGUGGCUGUCAUAAGUUCACACGAAUCUGCUGAUGACGUUUCACAUGGACAGACAACUACGCAUUAUUGUAUUUUUAAUUGUAUUUUUUGCGUGUGUUAUUUUUAUUUAAUUAUUAUGAAAAUCAUGGUCAUUAUUAUUGAGCCUUGGCUGGCAGUCUGUUUUGAAUUUGUUUUAUUGAAAAAACAAACACACAACGCUUAUUGUGUUGCGCCUGCGCAGUGACUUUCUUUUCCAACCGCCUUUCCAGUCAAGAGGACGUGACGAAUGUUCCUGUCUGCAUCAGCUAUCCAUCUGAAAAAGAAAAGCUGGCACUCUCAAAGGAGAUUGUGUUUUUGGAUUAUGGUCUCAUUUGGUCAAAAAGAGGGACAUGUACCGAGCAUUUUUUUUUUUUUUUUUUUUUUGAUGGGCCAUCACACAGUGGAUUUAUAAAAAUGAGAUUACAGAACAUCAGACGGUAGCUUCAACAGAGUUGAAGUGGGAGGACAUCAUCAAUUAAGAAUGCCAUUGACCAAACCUUCAGUCAUCAAAGAAGAUGGAUACAGGGGGACAUCCAGUUUUCCAGACUUACCGAUGGGAAAGAAGAAAUGGGAAUGUGACAAUUAUUGAGAAACUCGGAAAAAGCAUCUUUAGAGAAGAAAAUGGACAUCAGACAUUUAUUGAAGAAAGCUGACAGUCAACAUAAUGAUGAGAGCUGUGUUAUACAAUGUUAAGGAUACUCGUUCAUCUUCUGCUGUGUGAAUUCUGCUGUGUCAGUCCUGUGGGACUUAAUGCCGGCUGGUAGCAGUGUGACGUCUUUGCUUACUAAAUGAUCAAAGGGUGUCUGAAAUCAGCUCAGCCACAGUUGGUUUCCAACGGUUCUUCAGGACAUGGAGGCCACUACGUAACUGUUGCAAUGAACGAUUCUUUUGCCUUUCCACCUGAUGUUGACAAUCUGACCUGUGCGGUACUGAAAACCACUUGCACUGACAUAUCUUAAAAUAUAUCAGUGUCCUUUGUUUUGCCUCAAAAUGCACACCAGUAAUGUUUUUUGUUGAAACCAGUUAUAUUUCCUAAUUAAACUAAGGCCUAGUCCUGGAUUAAGCUAAUCCACUGUCCGGGAAACCGCCCCUAAAUGUUUUGUGACGGAAAUUUCUUUGAAUACACUUGUCAAGUUCAUUUUAAGUAUUUUUCUAAAUGUAAGAUAACAUGUUAAUGUUUCAGGACAAGUUAAAAAUUUUUGAUAAUUUGCAUGUUGGAAACGAUUUCAGACAUUGUUCUAUUCAACAUGUUUAGCACAGUUGCUUUUAAAUUCAAUGAAUUAUUUUAUAAAUAGUGUUUUAAAACGUAUCAAUGUAAUGUAUGUUUGAAGUUAUUAUACUUGCACUUACAUUUAUUUAAAUUAGCAUACAUCUAGCAACAUAGAGUACUAGCAUAUUUUCAUGCAAGCAUUAAUUGUCAAAUAUUUGUUAUUUUACAAAUAAAUAGUUUGUGAACAAUAUUCAAUAGUUGUCUGCUUGAUUUCAUAAUUUAAAGUUUACAAAUCAUAUGUUUUUUUUUCUCUUUAAUAUUAAAACUAAACAAUUACUCGGUAACACACAGUUGUGUUAGAUUAAUAGAAAGUUACACAUUAAUGUGUUUACUGAAGCAACACAUUUUUGUGUUGCAUUUUAUAACACAUAUUCUGUGUUAAAUUUAACUCAACAUGUGUUGUCCCUGCGCACACUCAGAACAUGUGUAAAA